CCUACGGGUGGCAGCAGUGAGGAAUAUUGGUCAAUAGACGAGAGUCUGAACCAGCCAAGUAGCGUGAAGGAUGACUGCCCUAUGGGUUGUAAACUUCUUUUAUAUGGGAAUAAAAUGUUCCACGUGUGGGAUUUUGUAUGUACCAUAUGAAUAAGGAUCGGCUAACUCCGUGCCAGCAGCCGCGGUAAUACGGAGGAUCCGAGCGUUAUCCGGAUUUAUUGGGUUUAAAGGGAGCGUAGGUGGAUUGUUAAGUCAGUUGUGAAAGUUUGCGGCUCAACCGUAAAAUUGCAGUUGAAACUGGCAGUCUUGAGUACAGUAGAGGUGGGCGGAAUUCGUGGUGUAGCGGUGAAAUGCUUAGAUAUCACGAAGAACUCCGAUUGCGAAGGCAGUUCACUGGACUGCAACUGACACUGAGGCUCGAAAGUGUGGGUAUCAAACAGGAUUAGAUACCCGAGUAGUC
rnacentral:rRNA from 1 species